rnacentral:rRNA from 1 species
CAGCACCUCAAGUGGUCAGGAUGAUUAUUGGGCCUAAAGCAUCCGUAGCCGGCUCUGUUAGUUUUCGGUUAAAUCUGUAUGCUCAACAUACAGGCUGCCGGGAAUACUGCAGAGCUAGGGAGUGGGAGAGGUAGACGGUACUCGGUAGGAAGGGGUAAAAUCCUUUGAUCUAUUGAUGACCACCUGUGGCGAAGGCGGUCUACCAGAACACGUCCGACGGUGAGGGAUGAAAGCUGGGGGAGCAAACCGGAUUAGAGACCCGAGUAGUCC